CCUACGGGAGGCAGCAGUGAGGAAUAUUGGUCAAUGGACGAGAGUCUGAACCAGCCAAGUAGCGUGAAGGAUGCCUGCCCUAUGGGUUGUAAACUUCUUUUAUAUGGGAAUAAAAUGUUCCACGUGUGGGAUUUUGUAUGUACCAUAUGAAUAAGGAUCGGCUAACUCCGUGCCAGCAGCCGCGGUAAUACGGAGGAUCCGAGCGUUAUCCGGAUUUAUUGGGUUUAAAGGGAGCGUAGGUGGAUUGUUAAGUCAGUUGUGAAAGUUUGCGGCUCAACCGUAAAAUUGCAGUUGAAACUGGCAGUCUUGAGUACAGUAGAGGUGGGCGGAAUUCGUGGUGUAGCGGUGAAAUGCUUAGAUAUCACGAAGAACUCCGAUUGCGAAGGCAGUUCACUGGACUGCAACUGACACUGAGGCUCGAAAGUGUGGGUAUCAAACAGGAUUAGAUACCCCUGUAGUC
rnacentral:rRNA from 1 species